CACUAAGUAUGUACUGACGCUGAUGAACGAAAGCGUGGGGAGCGAACGGGAUUAGAUACCCCGGUAGUCCACGCCGUAAACGAUGGACACUAGUUGUUGGGCAUUAGCUCAGUGACUAAGCGAAAGUGAUAAGUGUCCCACCUGGGGAGUACGGUCGCAAGAUUGAAACUCAAAGGAAUUGACGGGGGCCCGCACAAGCGGUGGAGCAUGUGGUUUAAUUCGAUGAUACGCGAGGAACCUUACCAGGGCUUAAAUGUAGGAUGCAUUAGACAGAGAUGUUUAUUUCUUCGGACUUCUUACAAGGUGCUGCAUGGUUGUCGUCAGCUCGUGCCGUGAGGUGUCAGGUUAAGUCCUAUAACGAGCGCAACCCCUAUUUUUAGUUGCUAACAGGUUAAGCUGAGGACUCUAGAGAGACUGCCGGUGCAAACCGCGAGGAAGGUGGGGAUGACGUCAAAUCAUCACGGCCCUUACGUCCUGGGCUACACACGUGCUACAAUGGUAAUGACAGAGGGCAGCUACCUGGCGACAGGAUGCGAAUCUUUAAACAUUAUCACAGUUCGGAUUGGAGUCUGCAACUCGACUCCAUGAAGCUGGAAUCGCUAGUAAUCGCAUAUCAGCCAUGAUGCGGUGAAUACGUUCCCGGGCCUUGUACACACCGCCCGUCAAGCCAUGGAAGCUGGGGGUGCCU
rnacentral:rRNA from 1 species